rnacentral:rRNA from 1 species
CCUACGGGAGGCAGCAGUGAGGAAUAUUGGUCAAUGGGCGAGAGCCUGAACCAGCCAAGUCGCGUGAGGGAGUACUGCCCUCUGGGUUGUAAACCUCUUUUGUCGGGGAGCAAAAGCCGGACGUGUCCGGCUGUGCGAGUACCCGAAGACAAGCAUCGGCGAACGUCGUGCCAGAAGCCGCGGUAAUAAGGAGGAUGCGAGCGUUAUCGGGAUUUAUUGGGUUUAAAGGGGGCGCAGGCGGAAUUUGAAGUCAGCAGUCAAACCGUGGGGCGAAACCCCAGCCAGCCGUUGAAUCUGGGGAUCUAGAGUGUACGAGGGGUAGGCGGAAUGCGUGGUGUAGCGGUGAAAUGCGUAGAUAUCACGAAGAACCCCGAUGGCGAAGGCAGCAUACCGGUGCGCAACUGACGCUCAGGCACGAAAGCGUGGGGAUCGAACAGGAUUAGAUACCCCUGUAGUC